rnacentral:rRNA from 1 species
ACUGACCCGCUAGCCCGACCUUAACCAAAAAUAACAAGACAAAUUAACUAAACCCAAAAACACCAACACCCACACAACAAAUCAUUUUUCCCCCUUAGUAUGGGCGACAGAAAAGGAAUCUACGGAGCGAUAGAGAAAGUACCGCACGGGAAUGCUGAAAAACAAAUGAAAUAAACAAGUGAAGCCCAAAAAAGCAGAGAUAGUACCUCGUACCUUUUGCAUCAUGAUUUAGCCAGUGAAACCCAAGCAAAGAGCACUUUAGUUUGACAACCCGAAACUAAGUGAGCUACUCCAAGACAGCCUAGUAAUAGGGCGAACCCGUCUCUGUGGCAAAAGAGUGGGAAGAGCUUCGAGUAGAGGUGACAGACCUACCGAACUUAGUAAUAGCUGGUUGCCCGCAAACUGGAUAGAAGUUCAGCCUCCCGGCUUCUCCCUUCACACAAAUUAUUACAUUUUAACAGAUUACAAGAAACCGAGAGAGUUAGUCAAAGGGGGUACAGCCCCUUUGAAACAAGAUACAACUUUACGUAGGAGGAAAAAGAUCAAAAUUUACCCAAGGCAGUAUGUUACGGUGGGCCUAAGAGCAGCCAUCCCGACGAAAAGCGUUAAAGCUCAGACACACUACCUCCCAAAACCCCAAGUCUCGAUCAUCUAUUCUUACUCCCCUUAUCCUACCGGGCCGCCCCAUGCAAACAUGGGGGCGAUCCUGCUAAAAUGAGUAUAUAAGAGAGCCUAACGUCUCUCUCCUAGCAUAUGUGUAAAUCGGAAACGGACAACCCACCGAAACUUAACGGACCCAAAAACAGAGGGAACUGAACCACAGACCUAAACAACCAGAAAAGCACCCAAACAACAACCGUUACCCCUACACAGGUAUGCCCUUAAGGAAAGACUAAAAGAAAGAGAAGGAACUCGGCAAACACACUCAGCCUCGCCUGUUUACCAAAAACAUCGCCUCUUGCUAAACCAAAAGUAUAAGAGGUCCCGCCUGCCCUGUGACUAUAUGUUUAACGGCCGCGGUAUUUUGACCGUGCGAAGGUAGCGCAAUCACUUGUCUUUUAAAUGGAGACCUGUAUGAAUGGCAUAACGAGGGCUUGACUGUCUCCUCUUUCAAGUCAAUGAAAUUGAUCUCCCCGUGAAGAAGCGGGGAUAGGCACAUAAGACGAGAAGACCCUAUGGAGCUUUAGACACCAAGACAGAUUAUAGUCCAUAAUCCUAAUUUAAAAGGGUAUAAAUUGAUUAAGUCCUGUCCCUAUGUCUUUGGUUGGGGCGACCGCGGAGAAACAAAAAACCCCCGCACGGACCGAACGAAUAUUAACGUUUACAACUAAGAGCUACAGCUCUAACUAACAGAACUUCUGACCAAUCAGAUCCGGCAAUGCCGAUCAAUGAACCGAGUUACCCUAGGGAUAACAGCGCAAUCCCCUCUUAGAGUCCAUAUCGACGAGGGGGUUUACGACCUCGAUGUUGGAUCAGGACAUCCUAAUGGUGCAGCCGCUAUUAAGGGUUCGUUUGUUCAACGAUUAAAGUCCUACGUGAUCUGAGUUCAGACCGGAGAAAUCCAGGUCGGUUUCUAUCUAUGAUACGACCUUUUCUAGUACGAAAGGACCGAAAAGAGGAGGCCCAUGCCCAAAGCAUGCCUCACCCUGACCUGAUGAAGUCAGCUCAAACAGGCAAAAGGGCGUCAACCCUUAAUGUCUGAAAAAACGACAU